rnacentral:rRNA from 1 species
GAGGAAAAGAAACCAACAGGGAUUGCCUCAGUAACGGCGAGUGAAGCGGCAAAAGCUCGAAUUUGAAAUCCUCUUCGGAGGAGUUGUAAUUUGAAGCUGGUUCUUUAGGGAGUUUUGUUUUUGGCUGCGGAAGUGCCUUGGAACAGGCCGCCGUGGAGGGUGAGAGCCCCGUAUCGUGGCCAGCAAGAUUUUCGUAUAAGGGCUAGCGAAGAGUCGAGUUGUUUGGGAAUGCAGCUCUAAGUGGGUGGUAUAUUCCAUCUAAGGCUAAAUAUGGGCGAGAGACCGAUAGCAAACAAGUACAGUGAUGGAAAGAUGAAAAGAACUUUGAAAAGAGAGUGAAAAAGUACGUGAAAUUGUUGAAAGGGAAGGGUAUUUGAUCCGACAUGGUAUUUAGAUGUCGCUUGCCCCCGUGGCGGGCGCUCCAUCUUUUUACUGGGCCAGCAUCGGUGCUGGGCGGGACAGGAGGUUUCUGUGAAUGUAGCCCUUCGGGGAACUUAUAGAACAGGAUUCAUACGUCUCUCCCCGGUACCGAGGACUGCGGGAAACCAAGGAUGCUGGCAUAACGAGCAAAUACCGCCCGUCUUGAA